rnacentral:rRNA from 2 species
AACUAUCCGUGGUGGAUCACUUGGCUCUUGCAUCGAUGAAGAACGUAGCGAAUUGCGAAAAUUACUGCGAAUUGCUUUAGCGUGAAUCAUUGAGUCUUUGAACGCACAUUGCACUCUGUACUUUUGUGCAGAGUAUGCCUGUUUGAGCAUCAGAU